rnacentral:rRNA from 1 species
AACCCGCCUGCAUGAAGUUGGAAUCGCUAGUAAUCGCGGAUCAGCAUGCCGCGGUGAAUACGUUCCCGGGCCUUGUACACACCGCCCGUCACACCAUGAGAGUCGGGAACACCCGAAGUCCGUAGCCUGACCGCAAGGGGGCGCGGCCGAAGGUGGGUUCGAUAAUUGGGGUGAAGUCGUAACAAGGUAUC